rnacentral:rRNA from 1 species
UUCCGGUUGAUCCUGCCGGACCUGACUGCUAUCGGAUUGAUACUAAGCCAUGCGAGUCUUUGCAGUAAUGCAAGGCAUACGGCUCAGUAACACGUAGUCAACUUACCCUAUGGACGAGGAUAAUCUCGGGAAACUGAGCAUAAUACUCGAUAGAUCAUAAUGCCUGGAAUGGUUUAUGGUUAAAAUGAUUCGUCGCCAUAGGAUGGGACUGCGGCCUAUCAGCUUGUUGGUGAGGUAAUGGCCCACCAAGGCGAUUACAGGUACGGGCUCUGAGAGGAGAAGCCCGGAGAUGGGUACUGAGACAAGGACCCAGGCCCUAUGGGGCGCAGCAGGCGAGAAAACUUUGCAAUGUGCGAAAGCACGACAAGGUUAGUCCGAGUGAUUUCUGCUAAAGAGAUCUUUUGCUAGUUAUAAAACCACUAGUGAAUAAGGGGUGGGCAAGUUCUGGUGUCAGCCGCCGCGGUAAAACCAGCACCUCAAGUGGUCAGGAUGAUUAUUGGGCCUAAAGCAUCCGUAGCCGGCUCUGUAAGUUUUCGGUUAAAUCUAUGCGCUCAACGUAUGGGCUGCCGAAAAUACUGCAGAGAUAGGGAGUGGGAGAGGUAGACGGUACUCGGUAGGAAGGGGUAAAAUCCUUUGAUCUAUCGAUGACCACCUGUGGCGAAGGCGGUCUACCAGAACACGUUCGACGGUGAGGGAUGAAAGCUGGGGGAGCAAACCGGAUUAGAUACCCGGGUAGUCCCAGCUGUAAACGAUGCAGACUCGAUGAUGCAUUGGCAUAUAGCCAGUGCAGUGUCGCAGGGAAGCCGUUAAGUCUGCCGCCUGGGAAGUACGUACGCAAGUAUGAAACUUAAAGGAAUUGGCGGGGGAGCACCACAAGGGGUGAAGCCUGCGGUUCAAUUGGAUUCAACGCCGG